AUGGGUUGGGAGAACUUGCCCAAACCCAAAGCCCACCUCGAGACUACCAGAAACCCUCGUCUCCAUCGCGCGACAAGCGCAUCUACGACCAUGUCGGCGUCGUCGCUAAUGGAAGACCUCGUAGAGCAAAUCCUUCUCCGCCUCCCGCCGGAAGAUCCCGCGUGCCUCGUGCGCGCGUCAGUCGUCUGCAAACCCUGGCGUCGCCUCGUCGCCGGCCCCGCCUUCCGCCGCCGGUACCGCGAGUUCCACCGGAGACCUCACCUGCUGGGCGUCCUCCAAAUCCUGCAAGGUGAUGAGCCUUACUACUCCCGAUUCGUCCCCACCUCCGUCUUUCGCGUUGUGGAUCCCGUCCUUCCAUGUUGGUUGGUUGUCGACUGCCGCCACGGCCGGGCCCUCUUCGCCACCACAAACCCGCACAUCGAGGGGACCUUGGACCUCGUCGUCUGGGAACCCAUGACGGACGACCAACGCCGGGUUCCGCAGCCCUCGCCGGAGCCGGAGGACUACGUCGACUACGCAGCGGCGGUGCUCUGUGCCGCGGAAGGCUGCGACCACUGCGGCUGCGAGGGUGGGCCCUUUCGUGUGGCCUUCGUAUCCACCGACAAGGGGAAGGGGGUGACCUCCGCCCGCCUGUACUCGUCGGAGACUGGCGCGUGGAACGAGAUCACCUCUCUUCAUCACCCCGAGGUCGAUGCCAACUUUGCGGCUAGCUUCCAUGUGGGAGACGCGCUCUACUUCCGCGGCAUCGGGAAUUACACCAUCGAGUACCAACUUACUACAGCCCGCUUGUCCGUGUUGGAGGCGCUGGCCAAGUGUUAUGGGAGGCUCGUGACAAUGGAGGACGGUGGCCUGGGAUUUGCCGCUGUGGAUAACACGAUCAUAACCCUGUGGUCAAGGGAGACUGGCCCCGAGGGCGCAGAGACAUGGACGCAACGCAGGGUAAUCGAUCUCAAGACGCUGCUUUCUGAAGAUGCCCUCUCACACUCAAUUAACGGAAUCAAAUACUAUAGUUGGAUUCCCGUUGCAUCUGUGGUCGGCUUUGCUGAGGGCACUGAUGCCAUUUUUGUUGGCACCAUUGCUUGCGUCUACAUGAUUGAACUCAAGUCAGGCCGAGUCAGGAAGGUGCUCGAUGAAUAUGGGAGAGUCUGCCCCUACAUGGGCUUCUACAUUCCAGACAUGAAAGUAGCUUCUACAGCUGAGGGGCCAAAAGAGUGUCUUUUAAAUCUAUGA
rnacentral:rRNA from 1 species